rnacentral:rRNA from 1 species
AACGAACGCUGGCGGCAGGCCUAACACAUGCAAGUCGAGCGCCCCGCAAGGGGAGCGGCGGACGGGGGAGUAACGCGUGGGAAUAUGCCCUUUGCUACGGAAUAGUCUCGGGAAACUGGGGGUAAUACCGUAUACGCCCUUUGGGGGAAAGAUUUAUCGGCGAAGGAUUAGCCCGCGUUGGAUUAGGUAGUUGGUGGGGUAAUGGCCUACCAAGCCGACGAUCCAUAGCUGGUUUGAGAGGAUGAUCAGCCACACUGGGACUGAGACACGGCCCAGACUCCUACGGGAGGCAGCAGUGGGGAAUCUUAGACAAUGGGGGCAACCCUGAUCGAGCCAUGCCGCGUGAGUGAUGAAGGCCUUAGGGUUGUAAAGCUCUUUCAGCUGGGAAGAUAAUGACGGUACCAGCAGAAGAAGCCCCGGCUAACUCCGUG